rnacentral:ncRNA from 1 species
UCAUAGGGGUGCCUUAAUAUACAGGCUGAGAUUAUACCCAUUGAACCUGAUCCGGGUAAUGCCGCCGAAGGGAAGAAGGUA